rnacentral:miRNA from 1 species
GAUUCCCCCCCCCCCAAAAAAAAGAAGCUUUGGGGGGCAUGAUCUUGCAUUAUACUCCAAUAUGUGCAUUUUGGGGUAUUGUGCCCGAAAAAGCACUUUUUUUUGGGGGGGGGGGAAUCA